UGGACCCACCUGAUUUCCAUGCCGAACUCAGAAGUGAAACGAAAUAGCGCCGAUGGUAGUGUGGGGCUUCCCCAUGUGAGAGUAGGACAUCGCCAGGC
rnacentral:rRNA from 1 species